UCUCUCUCUCUCCCAAUCUGCUUCACUCGCCAAACCUCUUUUCUUCGCCGGAACCCUAGGUCCGCUCCAUCAGCUUGAAUUUUCCGGUAAGUUUAACCUUCUUGACCACCGACGCAACGGAUGUGAGAGGAAAGAUAGUAUUGACGAGUUUGAUAUUGUUUUGGUGGAGCAGUAGAUGAACGUGCGAUUAGGGAACAUCUGAGGUCGGUUUUCGUCGCCGAAUGGAGGGAGGAAUAGCCCCAUGGAUUAUGAUGACAGUGACUUUCAAAACCACAAUCUCCAUUUAGCUGGUGAAGCUAACACUAAGUUUCCUCCGGUGUCUCUUCCAAGGUUUGAUUUUGACGAGAGGUUUGAUAGUUUAGUCGAAACUGAGGUUUUCUUGGUAUUGAGGGUAACGAAGAUAGUAACUGGAUUGAGGAUUUCUCUCGUGGAAGUAGUGGUGUAGUGUUUAGCUCAGCUGCAACAGAGUCUUGUGCCAUUUCUAGGCAUACUAAUGUUUGGUCUGAGGCUACUUCGUCAGAAUCCGUUGAAAUGCUUUUGAAUUCAGUUGGACAGGAGGACCAAGUCAUUGUAAGAGAGAAAGAUAAUUCUAUCAAGACUUCGGAUGAGCUAGGCUGCACAAUGGAUCAAUUGGAGCCUGGUCAGACAAACCUUGAGACUAUUCUUUCCAAAGAGGAAACUCCCAUCAACCCUUCUGUGGAUGAUACUCCAGGAGACUCCUCCUCUGUGUGCAAGACAGAUGCUGGACAGGAACAGGUCCCGCUGAAAGAUGACUCACCAACUCUUGUGCAGGAGGAGUCGGAAGAUAAUGCCAUUUUGGCUUCAAAUACAGCGGCUGUGCCUGUAGAGGUUGUGGAUACUGCUUGUCAUGAUAAGAUAGGGACUGAGACAACGGAUAGUCUUCUUGACCAAACCGUUGCGGAAAAUAAUGCAGUUUUAGCUCAUGUGAGUUCUGCUGGUCUUGAUUCGAUAGGAACUGAGACGACUGACAGUGUUCAUAACCAAACCGUUACGGAAGAGGCAUCCAUGGAGGAAAACAGUGUCGUUUUACCUUCAGAUACCGGGACUGUAGAGGCUGUGGAUACUGGUGGUCAUGGUAAGAUAAGAACUGAGACUACUUAUAGUCUUCUUGACCAAACACAAGACGAAGCCAACACAGAAUCAAGGAUGGAAAUUGAUUGUAGCCACGGAACUGUACAGACUGGGGUUUCUGCUAGUGGUGAGUUGAAUAAUCAGACCACUUUGCUUCCAGAGGUUUUCAAUGAUGAAAAUGAUAUCAGCGACCACACUGCUAAGUCUGAUUUGAAGGAUAUGGAGCUAUCUGAUGUCACGGUACUAGAAAGAGGGGACCAAGCUCUCUCUGCUCUUGAGGUAGCUGAACCAGACGUUUCAGGGACCCAAUGCCAAGAUCUUCCUGUCAGCAGUGCGAAUACCAGCGCAACUGUUGAAGCAUCUUUGGAACUCACUGGGGUAUUACCAAAUAUAACAAGCAGUGAACAUGAAUCUACUUUUCAGACUGAGACACAUACAGAGAUACUUCGAGUUGAGACUUCAGAAAGUGUUAAUGUUUCACAAAUGGACUCAAUGGUUGAAUGCACAGAUGGUGAUGUGUCUAAUAAGGGUGACAAUAAGGAAGGUAGUGCUCGCAUAUCUUAUCUCAAACAAAGCAUGGAAUUAGCUGUCAAUGCCAAUGAUAGAGAUCAGGAUGCCAAGAGCUCUCAAGUCUUAUCUGAAAGCUUUGUAUCCGAGUCUGUUCGUUAUGUUUCAAGAGACUCUGCAUCCAAGCUGUUGGAGUCAAAUUCUCAGUCUGACACCAUUCCAAAAGAAAAUCCAGGGACUAUGAUUGACAUUAAAGAAUGUAAAGCCUUUCCUCUCAAACCUGAAGAAUCGCAACAUCUAAGCCAAGAUGGAGCUUCUGCUGUCAGUCUUACAUCUUCAGUAGAUUUACAUAUGGUGACUACAUCAUCUGAGGCUAAUGAGCAAGUCAAUUUCUCUGUAACCGAGAAGGUUUUAUCUGGCGAACCUGAAAAUUGCCAAACUGUUUCACCUGUGGAAGCAAGUAAUUCCGGGAUUCAUAUUGCACAACAACCUAGCAAGCAUACUGAAGAUACUCAGCAAAGUACACAAUUUUUCGAUGGUUGUCCUACCUCUGAAGGGGCAAAGGAUGCAGUAGAUGCUGAUGCCGCUGGACAAGUUUUGCCUCAGCAGUGCGAGGAAACAAUUUUAGAAAAAAAUCUAACAGAAGUUGUAGACGUCCCUGAGACUCGGUCAAUUCUGGACAAGGAUGCCUUAAAUGAAAACCCUAAAGCUAGCUCCUUGGCUAAUCUUCGGAGUGAAGCUGUGGCAGAUUGCCAGGAAGAGGAUAAGACUGCUGCAUCCGGUAGGAUUAUGACAUCUGCGACUUCUGUUUCAUACCCCGCUGAUCCGGAUGCCAAGAGCUCUCAAGUCUUAUCUGAAAGCGUUGUGUCUGAGUCUGUUGGUUAUGUUAUAAGAGACUCCGCAUCCAAGCUGGUGGAGUCAAAUUCUCAGUCUGACACCAUUCCAAUAGACAAAUCAGGGACAAUGAUUGACGGUAAAGAAUGUGAAGCAUUUCCUCUCAAACCUGAAGAAUCGCAACAUCUAAGCCAAGAUGGAGCACCUGCUGUCAGUCUUACAUCUUCAGUAGAUUUACAUAUGGUGACCACAUCAUCUGAGGCUAAUGAGCAAGUCAAUUUCUCUGUAACCGGGAAGGUUUCAUCUGCCGAACCUGAAAAUUGUCAAACUGUUCCACCCGUGGAAGCAAGUAAUUCAGGGGGUCCUAUUGUACAACAACCUAGGAAGCAGACUGAAGAUACUCACCAAAGUACACAAUUUGUCGAAGGCUGUCCUGCCUCUGAAGGGCCAAAGGAUGCAGUAGAUGCUGAUGCCGCUGGACAAGUUUUGCCUCAGCAGUGUGAGGGAAGAAUUUUAGAAGAAAAUCUAGCAGAAGUUGUAAACGUCCCUGAGUUUCAGUCAGUUCUGGACAACGAUGCCAUAAAUGAAAACCCUAGCGCUAGCCCCUUGGCUAUGACUGCUGCCGGUGGGAUUAUGACAGCUGCGACUCCUGUUUCACACCCCACAGGUGGUGUAAUUGAAAUAGGAGUGUCCUGUGCUUCUACAAGUUCUGAGCCUUUUGUAAAGUCCCAUGUUGCUGGAACUGAAAACGCUGCUACAAAUUUAGGGUCUCCUGUCAUUUCUUCCCCAGCUCGUAAGAUGACCGAACUACAACUUAAUAAGACAGAGGAUCAGAAUACUUUGAGUUUGAUGGCUACCGAAUCUCCGGUCUUGAAUAGAAACCCGACCUUCAGCAGUGGGCUGAACUUGACUUCCGAUCCAAGGAAAGCAGUGGAAAUUUCCGAAACUACCCUUGUCUCUCCGAUAGUGGUGGGAUCUCCGUCUAAAUCUAGCUUAGAGAAAACAGCUGCGAAGUCUUCGAAAAGAAAAUCUGAGCGUAAACCCAGGCGAACACCUAAAUCUGCAGGAAAAGAGACUUCUAGAAAAGGAAAUAGUGUAAAGGGGGCUGCACCUUUUCAACAUUUUCAAAGUGCAGGCAAAGCAAAUGCUGUUAAUCAGAAUUCUGGUUCUUCUACUCAAAUCACACACUCUACUGAGAAACAGCAAAGUCUUCAGACUCCUGUUCUUAAUUCGUUUGGUACCCUUUCAGCCCCCACGACUAGUCUACCGGAUAUGAAUUCGACUGCUCCCUCAAGCAUUUUUCGUCGACCUUUCACUGACUCGCAACAAGUGCAACUACGUGCACAGAUUUUUGUUUACGGUGGUCUGAUCCAAGGGACAGCACCCGAUGAAGCGUAUAUGAUAUCUGCAUUUGGUGGUGCAGAUGGUGGGAGAGGCACUUGGGAGAAAGCAUGGCGUGCUUGUGCUGUAAGGGCUCAGAGAAUGCGUGUUUCUAGUCCUGAAACGCCAUUGCAAUCACGUGCAGGGAAGACAGAGACCCCGUCAAUGAGUCACACCAGUAGCAAAGCGAGUUCAGCGACGAAACCCAUAAUUCCACUCUCAUCACCUUUAUGGAGUUUGUCAACUCCCCUCGAAACUUUACAAUCAAGAAGCAUUCAGAGAGGUUCAGCUGCUGCACCACUGCCUUCUUCAUCACAUGCUCAUCAAGCUGCAUCGGUUACGAAUAUUGGACAUAAUACGGCUUGGAUGUCCCCUCUCCCUUACCCCAACCCGUGGCUUGCUUCUCCGCAGACCAGUGGGUUCGAUGUUGGUUCUCGUUUCCCCGUUUUCCCGAUCACCGAAUCUGUAAAAUUGACACCCACAAAAGAAUCGUCCUUGCCUUACUCUGGCGGUAAGCAUGUUCUGAGUGGAACUUCUGGCAAUAUUUUCAAAGGGACACAAACACUUGAGCCAGCCAGUACAGUUGUAGCACCUGCUCAACACUCCACUGGGACGAAAUCAAGGAAACGGAAGAAAAUGCCAGUCUCUGUGGAGUCUGAUCCAAGCAUUUUGAAUUCGCUACAGCAGACAGAAGUAGUUGUCUCACCUCUUGUUUCUAUAUCAACACCUGUACCUAUUACAGCUGCUCCGGGUAGUCUGACUUCUAACGCAGGCACCCUGCCCAGUGUUGAUUCCAUCUCUGCAGUCCCUAUGAACCUGGUAUCUACGUUCCCUGGAAAGAAAAUGAAAUCAUCUUUGCAAUCCCCAAUUUUUGGUGGUAACCUUGUAUCUGAAGUUAAGCAGAGAUCUGUGUUACCGGCAGAUACCAUUGAUAAGCUUAAUGAGGCUAAGAUGCAUGCAGAGGAUGCUUCUGCUCUCGCUACUGCAGCCGUUAGUCACAGCGAAUACGUAUGGAAGCAGAUAGAGCAACAGAGGCAUGCUGGCCUCCAGCCAGAAACUCAAGGCAGAUUAGCUUCCGCUGCUGUUGCCAUAGCUGCUGCCGCUGCAGUGGCAAAGGCUGCAGCUGCCGCCGCCAAUGUCGCAGCUAAUGCGGCAUUUCAGGCAAAAUUAAUGGCUGAAGAAGCAUCCCUUCCUAGUGUUUCUUAUCAGGGUAAUGAACUCCACAAGUCAAAUGAUGUACUAACUCAAGGCCAGGGUACCCCUGCUUCUGUCUUGAAGGGUGAAGGUGCAGUGGUCAGCUCCAGUCCGUUCCUUAGUGCUGCCAGAGAGGCGGCUAAGAAGAGGGUCGAGGCUGCCACAGCGGCCACCAAACGAGCUGAAAAUGUGGAGUCCAUUGUUAAGGCAGCAGAACUGGCAUCAGAGGCGGUUUCACAAGCUGGAAUACUUGUUUCAAUGGGUCAUCCUCCGUCGCUCAAUAAGCUGGUGGAGGUGGGUCCAAGUAAUUAUUGGAGGCAGGCUCAAGAAUCUGAGAAAGUGCAGCCUUGUAAAGUGGGUGUAUUAGAAAAAGAAACUGAGACUACUAGUGAUAGAGGUUUUGCUAGUCCCAGCACUGCGCAUACUGAGUUGGAUGGCUCCGCGAGAACAGCUGAUGGUCUAGGUCUAGGUCUAGGUCUAGGUCUAGGUCUAGGUCUAGUUUCUGCCACUGGAAAGAAAACAAAUGGACAGAAAGGUCAUAUAAGUGCAGACGUGGCUAAACACACUGCUGGAGUUUUCGAGCCAGAAGUUGGGUCAAAAUCUUCGAUUGACACCCAGACUGAAAGUGAGCAGAUUAUGAGAAAAGCAAACGACGAGUGCAUCAAGGAAGGUUCUCAUGUAGAGGUUUUCAAGGAAGGACCUGAAUUAAGAACCGCAUGGUACUCUGCCAAUGUAUUGAGCUUAGAGGAUGGGAAAGCUUAUGUGCUGUUCAGUGACCUUUCUGUAGAACAAGGAACAGAUAAGCUGAAGGAGUGGGUAGCCCUCAAAGGUGAAGGUGAUGAGGCCCCGAAAAUAAGAACUGCUCGUUCUAUUACUGCCCUGCCAUAUGAAGGAACCAGGAAGAGGCGCAGAGCUGCCAUUGGGGAUCCUGUUUGGAAACUUGGAGAUAGGGUAGACUCGUGGGUUCAUGACAGUUGGUUGGAGGGUGUUAUCACGGAGAAGAACAAAAAUGAUGAAAAUACAGUGACUGUGCAUUUUCCAGCACAAGGAGAGACUUUGACUAUCAAAGCUUGGAAUCUUCGUCCUUCUCUUGUAUGGAAAGAUGGAAGGUGGAUUGAAUGUUCUACUUCAGGAGAAAGCAUCAGCUCGUCACAUGAGGGUGAUACUCCAAAGGAGAAGCGUCCUAGACUAGGAGCUCCAGCUCCUGUGGCUGAAGGAAAAGACACGAAAAUGGAAACUGCCGUUGAUCCGGAUUUAGGCAAACCGCCUCAGACUGGUGUUCUUGACCUCGGUGUUUCAGAGACUACAUUUAACAUCGGGAGAAAGGAGGGCAAUCCUGGUCCACUCCGAAUGAAGAGAACCGGUUUGCAAACGCAGGGAGCAAAAGUGAUCUAUGGUGUCCCUAAACCUGGAAAGACAAGGAAGUUCAUGGACGUGAGCAAACAUUACGUUUCAGAGGCGAGCAAUCAAACUCGGAAACAGAAGGAACCAGCUAAGGCUGUGAAACCAAUUGUGCCCCAAAAUCCAGGACCAGGGAGCUGGAGAUUGCCUUCUAAACCGAGAGAAAAACAGACAACAACAACAACGAAGCCCAAGACUUUCAAACCUGCGCCCAAGACCAAAGAGAAGCCGGUUGCUGCACCUAGGAUAAUUCCCCGCAAGGACUCUCGUAAUACAACAUCCUUAAAUAUGGAAUCUGAAGAUGCCGUUGGUCAGAGUGGAGAGAACAAAGGUCCUGCAUCAACUUCCAGGGAUCCAGCCAAGGGAACAGGGGAAGAGCAAAUCACAUCAUCUUCACAAGGCCAAGAUAGUUCCUCCUCGACCACUACUGGGAAAGGGAAAGUGGCUCCUACUGCAGGGAGGUUACCCAAGAUUGAAGAGGCCAAGGCGUUGGAUGAUAAUUCUUCAAAAGCAUCAGAUGGAAUGGAACCACGUAGGUCUGUCCGCAGGAUUCAGCCAACUUCUAGACUACUUGAAGGUCUGCAAACAUCCAUGAUGACCUCAAAGAUUCCUUCCAUGUCACACAGCAGAAGUCACCAAAGUCAAAGGAAACAGUAACUCUAGAGGCAAGUAGGUAAUGGAAGGAGCAAAAGCUAAGAAAAGAAAGAGGCAGUCUCUGCUGCUGUUAGGGUCCUAAAUUUAAUAUCGAGCUCUGAGAAAAAUACUUUCGUUGUUGGCUAGGGAGAGAUGAUAUGUUAUUGUAGGUGUGAUUAUGAUUUUUAAGUUAGAUUAUAUCUCAGUCUGUGUGACUCAGAGAGGUAAGACAACUGUUGUUUGAAUAAAACAACUGUUUUAUUAUUGCCAAGUACCGUCAUCUUCCCUGACU